rnacentral:rRNA from 1 species
AUUGAACGCUGGCGGCAGGCCUAACACAUGCAAGUCGAGCGAGCGGCGGGCGGGUGAGUAAUGUAUGGGGACUGCCCGAUCGAGGGGGCUAACUAAGGGAAACGGUAGCUAAUACCGCAUCCUAUCGGAUAACCCAGAUGGGAUUAGCUCGUAGGUGGGGUAAUGGCUCGCCUAGGCGACGCUCCCUAGCUGGUCGGAGAGGAUGAGCAGCCACACUGGGAUGGAGACACGGCCCAGACUCAUACGGAGGCAGCAGUGGGGAAUAUGGCACAAUGGGCGCAAGCCUGAUGCAGCCAUGCCGCGUGUAUGAAGAAGGCCCUAGGGUUGUAAAGGACUUUCAGUCGGGAGGCGUUACCGACAGAAGAAGCACCGGCUAACUCCGUGCCAGCAGCCGCGGUAAUAC